CUCUCUCUCUCUCUUCUUUAACAACUUGUACUUGUCUUGUUUAUUGCAGAUCACUUGCUUCAAGUACUAAGCUUCUUAAAUUCUUUCAACUACAAAUUCAUUUACCAAUUUUUGGGUUUUCCCACAAUUCUUACGAGUCCUAAAUACAUUCUUCUUCUUUAAGGUUUUCUACUGAAGGAACUUAAAUUGUUUCACAUUCUUCUUCUGUUGUUGUCAUUCUUGUGUUUUUUUACUUACAUGUGAUUCUUGGUAAUAAUGGGUGAAGAACACUUGACAUUUGAUCCUUCUGAUAGAGCUGUUGAACAGGCAAUAGUUGCAUUGAAGAAGGGGGCACAUCUUUUGAAGUAUGGCAGAAGAGGGAAGCCCAAAUUCUACCCUCUAAGGUUAUCCGCGGAUGAAAAGUUUUUGAUUUGGUAUUCCGGUGAGAAGGAAAACCAACUGAGGUUAAGUUCAAUCACAAAUGUCAUCCGCGGCCAAAGUACUGUAAUUCUUCAGCCUGAAAUGGAAAGUCAAUGCAUAUCACUUAUAUAUGGAAAUGGCGAGCGCACUCUUGAUCUGAUUUGCAAGGAUCAAAUGCAGGCAGAGACUUGGUUUGUAGGCUUGCGAGCUGUAAUAUCCAGGACUCACCAUCACAGAAUGGUGGACUCUCUGAAAAGCAAAAGAGGUGCACACAGUUGCAUCAGUAGUCCAGCGGGUUAUAUGCGGAGGAAACAGAAUCUUGGACUUUCAGCAAAGACAAUCAGACUGUCUCAGGUUCGCAGCUUAGCGGGGAGUCCCACUCAGUCAUUUUCAGAAAGAUGUUUUACUGAUGGCUUAUCCUGUACUUCCGAAAGCUUUUUCUCGGAGUCAAGCCUAUCGAAUGUAAUGGAUAAUUUUACAUCAUGUUCGUCAUAUUUUGAACCAGAUGACUUAAGCCAGACGAGAGCAUCUUGUGCUGGGACUGAAAUCCAAACUGAUAUGCUAGCUCCACUUUUACCAUCCAGUAAUGAGUCAAGACCAUUUGGAAAGAAUGUACUGCGGGAUGUUUUUAUCUGGGGAGAAGGAGCAGAAGGGGGGUGCUUGGGGGUUGGGGAAGUGAAGUUGGAUGGUUUGUCACCCAAACUUCUCGAGUCCACUGUGAUGCUUGAUGUACAAGCAAUAUCCAUUGGUAGGAGUCAUGCUUCCAUAGUCACCAAACAGGGUGAAGUUUUUUGCUGGGGUGAAGGAAAGAAUGGACGGCUUGGGCAUAAACAUGAUAUGGACACUGCACGACCAAAACUGGUUGACUCUCUUAACGGGGUUCGGGUAAAAUCUGUCUCUUGUGGGGAAUACCAAACAUGUGCCCUGACCUUUUCUGGUGAACUAUAUACAUGGGGUGACAACUCUUUUUGUGCUGAGUUAGUAGGUGAGGAAAAGAAGAGAAGCCAUUGGCUACCAAACAGAGUAUGUGGUUCUCUGGAUGGUGUAAAAAUCUCUUAUGUUGCUUGUGCGGAAUGGCACACCGCAAUUGUUUCAACAUCUGGGCAAUUGUUUACUUAUGGAGAUGGAACUUUUGGGGUUCUUGGUCAUGGAAAUCUCCAAAGUGUUGCUCAGCCCAAAGAAGUUGAGUCACUUAGAGGUUUGUGGGUCAAAUGUGUUGCAUGUGGGCCAUGGCAUACAGCUGCGGUAGUGGAAGUCAUUGUUGAUCGUCUUAAAUUCAACAAUCCAGGUGGAAAGCUAUUUACAUGGGGUGACGGAGAUAAAGGAAGGCUUGGUCAUCCUGGUGAGGAGACAAAGCUCUUACCGACCUGUGUGGCAAAACUUGUUGAGCAUGAUUUCAUUCAAGUUUCCUGUGCAAGCACCCUAACUAUUGCACUAUCUAGCACAGGAAAAGUUUAUAUGAUGGGAAGUGCAGUGCAUGGGCAACUAGGCAAUCCAGAAGCCAAAGAUAAAUCAUUAGUGCUUGUGCAAGGAAAACUUAGAGAGGAGUUUAUUACAGAGAUAUCCUCGGGAUCAUAUCAUGUUACUGUGCUAACAUCAAGGGGAAGUGUUUACACAUGGGGGAAAGGAGCAAAUGGACAGUUAGGAUUAGGUGAUACAAAAGAUAGAAGUUGGCCAACUUUAGUUGAAUCACUGAGAGACAGGCAGGUGGAACAUAUUGCUUGUGGGUCAAGUACUACAGCAGCAAUAUGUUUGCACAAGUCUGCAUCUAGUACUGAUCAAUCAUCUUGCAAAGGAUGUAACAUGUCUUUUGGAAUUACGAGGAAGAAACAAAACUGUUACAAUUGUGGCCUUCUCUUCUGCCGCACAUGCUGCAGCAAGAAAACCCCAAAUGCCUCUCUGGCCCCUGACAAGACUAAAGCUUUUCGGGUAUGUGAUCCAUGUUUUUACCAACUUCAGAGGAUUGCUCAGUCAAGCAGGUCAUCAAAGCUUGAAAACCAUAGUCCAAGACCCUUACCGAUUACCCUAAAGGCAGUUACUUGCGAGAAAGUAGAGCGAGACGAGGCAAAUACUACAUCAAGUCGAAUGAUGGCAACAAGAAAAUAUCUAACUGAGAACAAUCAAUGUUUUGACAGGAGGUCUGCCAACAGUCUAGGGGAAAGUAGGCAGUUCUCUGAUCCUGUUACGUCCUUGCUGGAUACUUUUCCAAGAUGGGGCCAAGUUCCUUGUCCUAAAGUCUUUAGAAGAGACUAUGGACAGAUGAGAACCCAAAAUGCUCAUGCGAGGAAUUCGCUGGCUUCAGCCUCUCCAACUUAUUUCGUAGAACCAAAAUUUGUCCCCUCUGCUGGUCUAAAUAUGGAGGAAGACUUGAAAGAAUCAGACAAGAUCCUACUCGAAGAAGUUUGCAAGCUAAGAACUCAGGUUGAAAGUCUUGAAAGGUUAUGUGAAACAAGAAAGGAGAAAAUUCAAGAGUGUCAACAAAAAGUUAAAGAGGCCUGGUCAGUGGCUAAAGAGGAAGCUUCUAAGAGUAAAGCAGCAAAAGAAGUUAUAAAAGCUUUGACAUCAAGGGUAACUAUUCUCUUCAGGCAAUGUCAGAAAGCUUUUUUGCUGAAGCAGAAGCUAAUGUUCAAGCUAUUGCAAAUGUACUGCAGACAACAUCAACAUAUUCAGAUAGCCAAAAUCAUAUAGGUGGACACCGAAUUGUUGUGCCUCUUGCAAACGCACAACUAGAGGAGAGAAAUGUUGAUAGCCUAUGUGGUUCUCCAAUUGUAUUCUCUAGUACUUUAAGAUCCUUCUAUAACAAAGAAAACAACGUGGACUCCCGGUCAGCAGAAGAAUCUUGUAGAGAAGCUGAUCAUGGCCAAGCUGGGCUCAGAACAUCAAAAGUUGAAUGGGUGGAACAAUAUCAGCUCGGUGUUUUCAUCACAUUGACAGUGCUGCCAAGUGGAAAGAAGGGACUCAAGCGAGUCAGGUUCAGUAGGAAAAAGUUUACUGAAAAGGAAGCAAAGAAGUGGUGGGAAGAAAAUCAGCUUUCUGUGUACAAAAAGUAUGAUGUUGAAGGAUAUGAAAAUGUGAACCAAGUUUUGCUGAAGAAGUAGUCUCCACUUUCCUUUUUCUUCACAAUGUAAAUUGAACAUCAUUACAAUAGUGAUUUAUUCAUGUUACAGAAAUGAUUAUUUAAUGAGCUUAACAUGUGAGGGGAAAGUGCAAUGUUGUAUUGUCAAUGGCAUAUGGAAGGGAUAUCAUACAUAA